CCUACGGGGGGCAGCAGUGAGGAAUAUUGGUCAAUGGACGAGAGUCUGAACCAGCCAAGUAGCGUGAAGGAUGACUGCCCUAUGGGUUGUAAACUUCUUUUAUAUGGGAGUAAAAUGUUCCACGUGUGGGAUUUUGUAUGUACCAUAUGAAUAAGGAUCGGCUAACUCCGUGCCAGCAGCCGCGGUAAUACGGAGGAUCCGAGCGUUAUCCGGAUUUAUUGGGUUUAAAGGGAGCGUAGGUGGAUUGUUAAGUCAGUUGUGAAAGUUUGCGGCUCAACCGUAACAUUGCAGUUGAAACUGGCAGUCUUGAGUACAGUAGAGGUGGGCGGAAUGCGUGGUGUAGCGGUGAAAUGCUUAGAUAUCACGAAGAACUCCGAUUGCGAAGGCAGUUCACUGGACUGCAACUGACACUGAGGCUCGAAAGUGUGGGUAUCAAACAGGAUUAGAUACCCGAGUAGUC
rnacentral:rRNA from 1 species